rnacentral:ribozyme from 1 species
AGAGCUCAUUGAGUUGUUGGAGAUGGAGCGUGCUGGGCAAACCUCCGUGCUCAAGAACAACAAGAAGCAUCCAAAGCUGCAUUGCAUCCGAAAGAUCAUGGGCCGCAUGAGCAUUGCGGGG